CAAUCAGACAGGAGACAAAGGAUGCGGCGAGGUAUGUGUUUUCUGCAUCCAGACAAGCACUGGAGGAGGGAAUCACGAUGAACUACACUCAAAAGAAAGCAGAGAGCGGAUUAGAGGUAUUUAAGCAACGGGAAAUGAGGGAGUGUGGAAGAUCCCGCAGGUGUGGAGAUGAGAAAACCACGCUGAAGGUUGAAGGUGACGAGUUUGAUCCCUACCAAAUGACUCAACAAGAGUUUGAGCCCAUAGGAAUAAAUACAGAUGGAGGGAUGGAAGACCAUAAAAAUGACGAGGGGGAGGUUCUAUUGGUUGAUGGAGAACAGAUCGGGACUGGUACCAGAAUGGGACUAGAAGCUUCGUUUGGACUAAUGGGAAACAAAUCUGCAAAGCUCAAGUCCUGUGACAAAGCAUCGAAGCCCAACCAAGCAGGUGGGGGUCAAGGAGAUCAGCUGAAAUCUGAAACAGAUGAAGAUGUCGUUAAAACAUCAGAAGAGGCGAGUUUAGGACCCGGUGGGAAAUCAGUGGCGGAAGCAAAGCCUUCUGAACGUUCAACCACUGAAUCGACGCAGAUUAACAAGAUCUUUCAAAUCAAUCGAGAUACAGUCGGACCUUGUUUGGUGGACAAACUCAACCUCAACCCUUCAGAAGGGAAAGAGCUGAGAUGGGCCGUCUUAGGGCGAGAUCUGAGGGGUCAAAAAGAGGACGUAAAGAGUGAAAAAAGCUCCAGAGAAGUCACAACACACAAGAGUGAAGCAAAGAGAGGCUCUUCAGCAGACGGAAUGGAAGAAGAUACGAGUCAGGAAAAUGAGAGGACGAGCACCGGAGAGCUGACAACAGAGGGAACGAGGGAGUUGGAGGUGGAGAGCCCUCAGAGGUGGCAGCAGGGGUGUGUGACGGAGGAAGAGGAGUUGUCAGCAGAAGUUGAGGGCCCUCCACGUGAACGUGAACAAGCGUCAGAUGGAACGAAAGACCUCAUAACAGCAGAAAGCACGGAGCUCGUGGAGGGAUUUGGUGAACACUUGGUGAGGAGGAUUUUGGAGGAGGUCUUUGUUCAACAAGGGAAGGCUUCCAGUGGAAGUACAGCGGAUGACAUGGGGGGAUGGGCGACAGAUUGCCAACUUUUGGAGAACGAUCCCUUCGACACUUUUUGCUCUGACGAGACGGAUUGGAGUUUUCGUCAAGGCGUGGAGCAAAGUUAUACGAUGCAGAGUAGCUCUCUAGAACAGAGAAGUCAAUCCUACUUUCCCUGCAAACGCCAAGAUACCCCCAAUUUAGCUCCUCCCAAUGAACAAACGACCCAAGCAUUGACAAAAUCAAAACAAUCCCACGUCCUUCUAUGGUGGUCUAUAGUAUACACCAUCGCUCACAUUACCAGACUGAUCAUCUGCAUGCUGCUGCAAAACAGGAUUGUGAGGCUAAGACGUUUGGACAGAAGGGACAGAUUUGUGGGUGAUUCAGAGAGUCUGUCGCAAAGGUAAACUGUGUCAUGUGUUGUUUUUGUCCAAAGUGUGUGUGUGUGUGUUCAUUAAGCUUUGUAGUCACACGUGUUCUCGCCCACAACCGUGCCUUUGGGCUUGUGGGUGUGUGAGAUAUCAGUGUGUGAAAUGCUAAAGAAGGUGUAAAAAGAUGUUUAUUUCUAGGACACGUGUUUGUGUUUGCCUCUACCCUAUAUCAUGGGAAGUAAGGAUUACACAAAGAGAGCAACAUAUUGAGGAGCAGCAUAUUGUUGGCACACACCAGCGUACACAAGUGUGUUUUGUUGUCAGAGGGCUCCUGUUUUCAAAUUUCUCCUGGAGUGAAAUGUCACAGAUGGAGCAGGAUGGGUGUGGGGGAUUUUCUUAUAGGUCAACUUUUGUUUUCAUCUUUUUCUCCUAUUAUUUGUUCUCUGCUUAGAACAUAGUUAUGCCCAGUUAUGCUAAAAUCUAAGUCAGGCAAACGUGGUCCACUAAGGGUUCUAAAAUGUGACAAAAGGCCCAGACCCAGGGCCAAAUGCAUAGGGUGUUUUGGUAAUUGACCCCAGAAGAGAAAGACAUAACAUGGAAUCUGUAUGAAAACAUUGCUUUAAUUUGAUUCAAAAUUUUAUUUCUAAAACGCAACAUUAAAAAGUUUUCAUUUGAAAACUGUGGCUUUUGUUCUCAUUUUAGCGCCAAUGGCACCAAUGAGGUAGAUCCCCCUCCUUUUAUAGAAAUGCUGCAUUCAUGUAAUGUCGGAAUCAUCGGAAAAAUGACUGUCCAACCCAAAAAAACCCACCAAUAUUACAACACUAUGAAUGCGGAAUAUCUUUCUUCACCGUAACAAAGAUCAUUAUAUAUUUGUAGUGCACCAUCUAUGAGGAGACACCAGAAAAAAAGGGAAAAUAAAGCAUUGAUAAGGUCUAUCAAUACAAUUUAUUACAAUUUGGUGGGCCAGAUUAAAUAGUUUAAUGGGACGCUGUAAUUUGCCCCGCCUUGGUCAAUGUAAACUUUCCACAACACCCCUUUUGAGUCUAAGCUAGGUUUUCUUUACUUCAUUUUUGUUUCACUUUUGGUUUUGUUUCAUUAAAAAAAAAGAUGAUAUUAGUGACAGCACAGUUCUAUUUUUCUCGAAGUCAGGCAAUUGUGUUGUGGAAAGUUACCCCCCCCCCCUUAAUGCCUGACACUCGAGUCUAAACAGGGUUUUCUCCAGGUGCUCUGGUUUCUCCCUCUGUCCAAAACAAAGCCCCCAAAUUCUAAAACCCCUAAUUCUUUAAAGUAAAAUUAAAAAGCAAUAAAAAAUAUGAAAAAAUUAAUCCCCCCUUUUUGAAUUGCCACAUGGCGGUGGAGGGGUUUGCGUGCCCAAAAAAUUCCCAUUUGAUAGCCCCAGCCUGGGCCUAUUGAUGCUAAGGGAUGGGCCAGACUAAGAGUAAUUCACACACAGAAAGAACAAUGACUUGAGACAUAAUCAAGGUUGAGGUUUGUUCUGUCUAAAGCAGAGCUGCUCAUUCCUGCCCCUCCAGAUCUCCCACUCUGCCUGUUUUCCAGCUCUCCCUGCACUCCUUCCUGCUGGUUACCUGGACCAGGUGUGUUCAUUCCAUCAGAAUGUGGAGACAUCUGAUUGAGCCAAUCAGCAGCUAGCAGGACUUGGAGAUCUGGAAAACAGUCAGGGUGGUAGAUCUCCAACACCAGGAACUAGCAGCCCUGAGUUACCAAAGCCUUAAUCUAAAUGAAACAAAGCCCCACUGAACCUCAGUAACAGCUGUCCUCACAGGUGGAAACAGGCUGUCUGUAAGGAAAUAUGGCAAAAUCUGUCAAAUCAGUCCCGGCCUGAAACUGAAAACAGAACCCAAAGUAAAAAUACUUUCAAAAACGGUCAGGAAGGAGAUUUUUCACCUGUGUCGUUGUUGCUUCACUCUGAAAUUUUGUAAAGUUAGAACAGUUCCAUCGCUAAACGUGCAGAAGAAGAAGUAAAGCUCUCUGCUGUGCGUUUUUGAAACACGUACGUACGGUGGCCCAGAGGUGCAUUACAUUUAAGAUACAACAACAACAAAUCCCACUACGAAUGAACAAAUACUGAAACACAACAACAAUCUCUAUAGUUGUAUUACUACUAUAAAAUAACAACAAUGUUUAUCAAGGUAAAGUUUUUGCAUCACUUCCUUGCCAUCAAGCUUCCAAAACACGACAGCAGAAGAAGAAGAAAAAAUUAACAAAAACAAGCAGCUGCUAAUGGAAAGGGAAAACCUUUAAUACCAGAAGAGGAUUUCUAGAGGGCACAUUCGAUUACAGACGCCGCCAUUUGUAUUUUAUUAGCAUGAAAGUCUGCAGUGGAGGAUUUAUGCCUCCAUGGUCUUUUUCUUAGUGGUCCACCUGUGGUUUAUGGCUUUAAUAAAAGGUUCUUCCAUCAUUCAUGCGUGCCUUCACCUCUCUCUGUGGUCUGUUGUUGCAAGAAGAGUUCAGAUAUGUGGUGAAGAUGUUUUGCGUUCUUUGACUCUGAAUGGAGAUGACUAAAAGACCUUCUAUCGCUCAUCCUUUGAUCUAUUUUCAAAGCGUUCUCAGUGGUCUUUUAAUCAGGAUUAUGCUGUCUUUAGCCAAAAUAAAAAAAAAAGACGUAUUUUUUUAGGACAUAGUUUCUGCAGAGCGGCAGAAGUUGAUUCCAAAUUCACCUUUGAGUUGCAGGGAGCAACCCCGCUCCCCUUCCCCCUCCCCAUUGCUGAGAGCUACAGUAUCUGUUUACACACGCGCUAGCUUACAUACAGGCCCUGAAGUGCAAAUCACACCAAGAAACGCCACUUAUUUACCUUAUUAAAGAGACAAAAUAGAAAACCAAAAUAAAAUAAUACCUCUAGCAGCAGGGUUGGGCUUUUAGCACAUGGUGUUCACACUGGACUGUCGCUACCCGAUACUAGCACGUGUACCUGCAGCUGGAAGAGGCUUGGGGCGAAAUGUAGCGGUCCAAAUCUUGUGAAUCUUCCUCCAGACUUUUUCUUUCCUAGCUCUAUGUCAUGGUCGGGUCAGUCUCCUCCCCCUCCAUCUCAGUUCCACGCCUAACCACCUCCAGCUGUUGCCACUCAACCUCUUCAGCCCUGCUGUUUAAAAGGAGACUCAAACCCUUCAUUCAACGCCAGAUC
rnacentral:lncRNA from 1 species